rnacentral:lncRNA from 1 species
UGCAGCUUACUUCUAUUCAAUGUACUCUGUAUUAAGAGCUGCUACUUCUCCGCACUUUGAAGGUACAGAUUUUUUUGAGACUAGUUCAAUGCUUAUAUCCUUUAUUCUGCUUGGAAAAUAUCUGGAGGUUCUCGCCAAGGGAAAGACAUCUGAGGCAAUUGCCAAGCUCAUGGACUUAGCACCUGAAACAGCAACUUUGCUGACUUUAGACGAGGAUGGCAAUGUGAUAAGCGAAGAAGAAAUAGAUAGUAGGUUGAUUCAGAGGAAUGAUGUAAUUAAAAUUAUUCCUGGUGCAAAAGUAGCUUCAGAUGGUUACGUUUUGUGGGGACAGAGCCAUGUAAAUGAGAGUAUGAUAACUGGAGAGGCAAGGCCAGUGGCUAAGAGGAAGGGUUAUACAGUAAUUGGUGGCACUGUGAAUGAGAAUGGGGUGCUACAUAUUAAGGCAACAAGGGUUGGAUCAGAGAGUGCUCUUGCUCAAAUUGUUCGACUUGUUGAAUCAGCUCAGAUGGCUAAGGCUCCAGUUCAGAAGUUCGCUGAUCGUAUUUCAAAAUACUUUGUGCCUCUGGUAAGUAUACAAUAAGAUUCACCAUGUUUUGCAUUUGUUCUAUAGAUACUUAAGAGUCUUAAGAAAAUGUAUGGUUUCUUGCUAAUAAAACAGUUUCUUUUAGGUCAUCAUCCUAUCAUUUUCGACAUGGCUUGCUUGGUUUUUAGCUGGAAAGUUCCAUAGCUACCCGGAAUCCUGGAUACCAUCUUCGAUGGAUAGCUUUCAGCUUGCACUACAGUUUGGAAUCUCUGUUAUGGUCAUAGCGUGUCCAUGUGCGCUAGGCCUAGCGACUCCAACUGCUGUAAUGGUUGGAACUGGAGUUGGGGCAUCUCAAGGAGUACUGAUUAAAGGGGGUCAGGCCUUGGAAAGUGCACAUAAGGUUAGCAUAUGCUGUCAUGUUGCUCUUUGCUACUUGCUACGCAUACAAUGACUGGAAUCGGUUUCUUAUGGUUGUGUAUGACAAUCUUGUAGGUGAAUUGCAUUGUGUUUGACAAAACUGGAACUCUGACAGUUGGAAAGCCAGUAGUUGUCAGCACAAAGCUUUUGAAAAAUAUGGUACUGAGAGACUUCUAUGAAGUUGUUGCUGCAACUGAGGUAUGAUUUAUUUUCUGUGGAAAUCUUAGCCUUUUAAGAGAGUCCGUCAAGGUUGUAGUUGCUUAUGAUAUAACUAAUGAUAAUAUUUGUUGCGAUCUAUCUACUAGGUUAACAGUGAGCACCCAUUGGCGAAGGCUAUUGUUGAAUAUGCCAAGAAGUUCAGAGAAGAUGAAGACAAUCCUCUCUGGCCAGAAGCACAUGAUUUUAUCUCCAUCACUGGCCAUGGAGUUAAAGCCACGGUUCAUAACAAGGAAAUAAUGGUGGGAAACAAGAGCUUGAUGUUGGAUAAUAACAUUGACAUACCACCUGAUGCUGAAGAAAUGCUAGCAGAAACAGAGGGAAUGGCUCAAACCGGGAUCUUAGUAUCUAUUGACGGGGAAUUGACUGGAGUUUUAGCCAUAUCCGAUCCACUGAAACCAGGUGCUCAUGAAGUCAUUUCCAUUCUAAAGUCGAUGCAAGUGAGAAGCAUCGUGGUGACAGGCGACAACUGGGGAACUGCCAAAUCCAUUGCCAAUGAAGUUGGAAUUGAAGAUGUUAUAGCUGAAGCCAAACCUGAACAGAAAGCAGAGAAAGUGAAGGAGUUACAGGUACAAUGCAAAUUAUCUGCAUCUCAUAUAUGCAUGUUUCGCACUUGUAUCGAUUACAUACAAGAUUCAUUAUCUUGUUGACAGGCUUUAGGAUAUACUGUGGCAAUGGUGGGAGAUGGCAUCAAUGACUCGCCAGCACUUGUAGCAGCAGAUGUUGGAAUGGCAAUUGGUGCAGGCACGGACAUUGCAAUAGAGGCAGCUGAUAUUGUCCUGAUGAAGAGUAAUUUGGAGGAUGUGAUAACUGCUAUAGACUUGUCGAGGAAAACUUUUUCGCGUAUUCGUCUGAACUACAUUUGGGCUCUGGGUUAUAACCUUUUAGGCAUACCAAUUGCUGCGGGAGCCCUUUUCCCGACUACUGGAUUCCGUUUACCUCCAUGGAUUGCUGGAGCUGCAAUGGCAGCCUCUUCAGUUAGUGUUGUUUGCUGCUCUCUGUUGCUGAAGAAUUACAAGAGGCCUAAGAAGCUGAAUAAUCUUGAGAUUCGUGAAAUUUGUUGGAAAAAUAGCAAAUCAAUAUGUUAUUUUGAGGGCACAUUUUGAGUGGGUCCCACUUAGCGAAAGUGGGAAAUAUUGUGAAGUUCGGGUUCUACUCCGUGAAUACUUCGAAAAUGUAUAUUUAUUUACUCAAAAUGGUGCUUGGGUGAAUGAGAAAUUGUCUCUCAAAGUGUACCCUUGAAGUUGAAAAUUUGAAAGAAAAUGAGAUUUAUCCCAUAAGGGAAAAAUAAGCUAAGGGAUUUGUGUUUAUAUAUUGACACUUAUCAUGCAUGAGCAAGAAUCUCACGCGCACAGAGGGGUGCGAAUCCAAGACCGAUUUGGUUGAAUUCGUGUGUGCCCGUGUUUUUAAUUUCUUUUUUAAGUUUUUUGUAUCAGUUUUACAAUUUUUGAAUUCAAAGGAUUUGUAACCAAGUUCACAAUUUUUUUUUGGGUUGUUAUGCAAUUCAAUUUUUGAAUUCAAUUGGCUGAAUUGAAUUUAAACAAUUCAAUUGGCUGUUACAACAAUUAAAUGGCAUAUAUUGAAUUUGAAAAUUCAAUACUUUGCUAUUGUUAAAUCCUCACGUGUAUAAAAAGGCAGCUUACUCUUCUGUUUUACACACACAGAAACCAGCACACAGAGCACUUAAAAUUUUCUUUCCUCAUUCUUACGUCUGAUUUUCUGAUUGAGUUUGCCGCUGUUGUGGUUCGCCGGAAUUAUUUGUCUGCGCUUGACGGAUAAUUCGUGCUCGUUGUAUCCUGGGAAACAGUUACCAGCAAACCUAAAGCACUGCAGUAGGUGGUAAAUAUGUUUUAAGGACACUGUGUUACAGGCCUCGGGUUUAGUGUUACAGGCCUCGCACUGCAGUAGGUGGUAAAUAUGUUUUAAGGACACUGUGUUACAGGCCUCGGGUUUAUUUUCUUUGUUUUGUUUGAUUUCCAGUUAUUGUUUUUUGCUGCUGUUUAAUUUUAAUUGUUGUCUUGCUGCAGUUUAAUCUGUUAUCAAUUAAUUCCGUGUAAUUAGCUACUGGUUUUAUUUGUUAACUCACUGUUGUUAUUUUACUAACAGAAUUAUGAUAGAGUGAUUUAUGAUGAUGGUUCUUGAUUUAGUGCCCUGUAAUGUACAUAUAUGUUAAGGUGAAAAACACCCUUGAAAUAAGUUAGCCAUCUUAUUCGUAAUGACGAUCUUGGUUAGAGUGGCAGUUUAUGUACAGUCAUUCGGUUUGUUUAUGUAGGACUGUUUAAUGCUAAAUGAAUUUGUGGUUUUUUAUACUCAAGUUGUCGUUUCUUUCGUAAUAGUCUCUUUUGAUCCUCUCUUUUGAUUCUCUCUUUCUCAUUGCAAGACGGUUGGCUGCUUCGGCCCAAUUUUCGAAGACGAAACAGGCUUCAUAUGGUAGAUUUCAAUUUUAGGAAGGAUUAAAUAUAUAAAGUUGUGAGGCAAAUUCAGUUGCAAUAAAAAGUUACAAUAAUACCAACAAAGUGUUGGCUCUACUGGCAAUGGAGUCUCCUUAAGUGGUUUGAUUGGGUUUACUUCCCAGUUCGAGUCGCAGGGAAGUCACCUUUGUUGGGAGAAUCUGUGCCUCCCGAUUCGAGCGGGGACUUCUAAUCUGAGUUGUGGUACGAGCUUAAAGGUGUCUCCCAUAGUUGGGACCCUCCCCAAAAUAUCUCGUGGAUAAGACAAAAAAAAAAGUUACAAUAAUAAUAAAUUCUCUUCAUUUUAAUGUUUUUAUUUCCCCACAUCUUUUAAAAAAAAUCAUGGGGGAUAUCGCAAAAAAAAAAAAAAAGAGUAACUCUGUCGACGAAUCAUCAUGAGCUUUCAUUCCUCUGUCGUCGAAUCAAAAUUGGCGAUCAUGUUGGACUUUCAAAUCAACACUCUGUCGUGGAAUCAUCAUGAGCUUGCAUUACUUCUGCCCUGACGCCAAAUUCUAAUUUACAAAGGAAAGAAAAGGGUAUUCGUAAUGCAAUGAUACGAUGGCCCCCACUCCCCAACCGCACGAGAUUAAAAAUAAUGGUUUUUUUUUUAUAAGUUGAUUAUGAUAAUAAAUUAUCACUUAUAUUAUAUGAGAUUAUUAUUAAUAUUUAUAAUUAAAUUAUCAUUUAUUUUUACAUAAGACUAUUACUGAAACUAAUUUAUAUAUAUUUUAUAUGAAACACUGUCCAUAUUUUUUUAUUAUUUAUAAUAUUUGAGAGAUGUCUACUCCACACACAUUGAUAAGAAAAAAAGACUGACUUUCAAUCAAUUAUAAGUUAUAAUUGGUGAAGGUAGCAACCCAGCUACUCGACGAAUGGUCGAGUGACCCAAUGGCUUUCUUGUUAAGCCUCACUGCCCAACAAAUUUUCAUUUCCAAAUUUAUCCCAUCAUCAAUUUAUGAGUGGAGCUUGCAACGCCCUCAAGAAAUUUUAUUUUUUGUUUUUAUAUUAUUUUUUAUAAAAUAAAAAAUAAAUAUAGGAUUACAAUGAAAAUUUUAAUUUAAUUUUACUAUUAUUUAGAAUGUAUUUAAUUAAGUUAUAAAAAAUAUUUUUUUUAAUAGAACUAUUAUUAAGUAAUUUACUUCUUUAUUAUUUCAAAAUUAUUUUGAUUUUAUCUAUAAAUUAAUUAUAUCAUAUAUGAGGAUUAAAAAAUAUUUAAGGGUUCAUAAUUUCUAAAUAUAUCUCAGUUUAGUUAAAUUCAUAUUUUUCCUUUUAUGUAAAGUGUCAUUUUUAUUUUAAAUAGAUGAUAUUUAGAUAAAGUCGUAAAACAUUGGUAGAAAAGUGAUAAAAUCAAUGCCAACCUAAUCUUUAUCAGUAAGGUGAAUUUUUUAUUUCUAAGGGUUGGCGUCACAGAGCAAAAUGGCAUGGUCGCAUUUGGAGCAUGAUGGGUAGGGAUGUCAAAAAUUCCCACAGAGAUGGAGGCUUUAAGGAAAAUUUAUGAAUACAUUUAAAAUUUAAUUUGUAAUUGUGUAAAUAACAACAACAACAACACCAAUAAUAAUAACAUCUAAUAUAAACACUUCAAGAUUGUCGAAGAUAACUUUGCUGAUAAUUUAUACAAUGUAACUUUUAUGGAUUUGUUUAACAUUGAAAUUCUAUUUUUGUUUAAUUUCAUAGACUGUAUUGUAAUUUUGAUGAUAUGAACUUAGUUUGUUGGAAAUAAUUUUAAUUUUUUAAAUUUAUUUUUAUACUUUUGUGUUGCUAGUACGAUUUUAUACUUUUACAAAAUAAUAUAAUUAAAUUAAGUUUAGAAAAUAAAGUUUCAGUUAUUAAAAGAUUGCGUAUUCUCGGUGAUCCCCUCUUGUCCCCUCAAAUAAUUUUAAAGAGGACGGAAAGGUAGGAGGAUCCCUAAUGAUGUGUAUUAUAUAGUGGAAAAUUCAAUCAUAAACUUGAAGGAGGUUGUUUAUAUUUUUUAAAUGGAGCCAUCAUCACUCAUGCAUAUUAUAAAUAUAUUUUGUCUCGGGUUUGGUGGAGAUGAUAUAAUAAAGUUCAGAAGCAGUAUGCUAGCUUUUUAUAUACAAUAUUUGUCUGACCAUGGGGAUUCUUUCAGCAUAAACAGCGAGCGUUUAGUAAACGUAGUAUAUUAAAAUUUAAAGUUUCAGUCUGUACCUUAAUUACAUUUAUAUUUAAAAGAAGAGUGUGGUGGUGGAUCGAUCGAACCUAGAGAAGUUUAUUAAUUCCACAAAAACUAAAGCACAAUCAGACUCUCCACGUACUGUUUGACGAGAUUGAGUUAUUUAUUUUAGUUUAAGAAUUUGCUUGUGUUAGUGUGUUACAGCGCUGCAUGUCACAAAACAUACGGUCUCUCCCAAUAUUAAUAAACUUUUUUAUAAUUUUAAAAGCAGACAGCACACGAUACGUCUUUGUUAUAUAUGCAAGGAGAAGAAAAGAAAAGAAAGAAAUUAAGCAAGUUACAAGUGAUAUAUCAUGUAAUAUUAAUAGGUGCGGUAAUGGCGACCAGCAAGUUGCUGGCAUUGGCUUGUAUACGAAACGAGAGUAGUAGUUAUAGGGACUUGUUGACAUCGACACCCAAGUACCCGAAAGUUGUGUCGGGUCCGGUAAAGUCCUGCAGCAGAGCAAUAUUAUUAUCGGUGAAGGGAAUGACUUGCUCGGCCUGUGCAGUGUCCAUCGAGAAAGCCAUCAAACGCCUUCCUGGAAUACACGACGCCGUCGUUGAUGUCUUGAAUAACAGGGCUCAAGUGUUGGGGAGGCACCCUCCCCAAGAUACCUCGUGAUUAAUGUGCAAGUUUUUUUUUUUUUUUUUUUAAUAUCGUCAAGGAGGAGACAAUUCUUAAGGCAAUUGAGGAUGUUGGAUUUAAAGCAACGCUCGUCCCUGGGGAAAAAAUUGAGAAAUCUACUCAAGUAUGUCGAAUACGCAUUAAUAAACGAGCAUGCACUUCAUGCUCCUCGACUGUUGAAAAAACUUUUCAAGCAAUUCAGGGUGUACAGAAUGCCCAUGUCACCUUAGCUACUGAAGAAGCAGAAGUUCACUACGAUCCGAGAAUUCUGAGCUACAAUCAGCUUUUGAAAGCUAUUGAAGAUACAGGAUUUGAAGCCAUACCAAUCAGCACAGGAGAAGAUAUCGUAAGCAAGAUCCAUCUUCACCUUGAUGGCCUAUAUACUGAUCAUUCAGUGACAAUGAUUGAAAGUUCUCUUCAAGCGCUCCCCGGCGUUCUUGACAUUGACUUGGAUCCUAGCAUACAUAAAAUUUCCAUUUCUUACAAGCCAGCCAUGACAGGACCCAGAAACUUUAUAAAAAUGAUAGAAUCAACUGCUUCUGGGCAUUUUAAGGCCAGAAUAUUUCCUGAAGGUGAAGGAAGAGAAGCACAGAAACAGGCAGAGAUUAAGAAAUACUACAGAUCAUUUCUAUGGAGUUUGGCUUUUACCAUUCCUGUUUUUUUAACCUCCAUGGUCUUCAUGUAUAUCCCAGGUAUCAAGAAUGUACUGGAUACCAAAAUAGUUAAUAUGCUUACUAUUGGAGAGAUUAUAAGGUGGGUGCUAUCAACUCCUGUGCAGUUCAUUGUAGGCAGAAGAUUCUACACCGGUUCUUACAAAGCUCUGCGCAUUGGUUCUCCUAAUAUGGAUGUUUUGAUUGCCCUGGGAACUAAUGCAGCUUACUUUUAUUCGGUUUACUCAGUGUUGAGAGCAGCUCUUUCUCCAUAUUUUAUAGGUAAAGAUUUUUUCGAGACUACUUCAAUGCUUAUAUCCUUUAUUCUGCUUGGAAAUACCUAGAAGUUCUGGCCAAGGGAAAGACAUCUGAGGCUAUUGCCAAGCUUUUGGACUUGGCACCCGAAACAGCGACACUGCUGACUAUGGAUGAGGAAGGCAAUGUGAU